rnacentral:lncRNA from 1 species
UGGCUUUUUUUUUUUAUUUUUUUCCUUUUGAAAAUUAACGUGAUGAUUUGGGUAAUUAUAAAAUAUUUUUGUGAUAAUAUGAUUUUAUAAAGUAUAUUUACUGUUACUUUAAAAUUAUUAGAAAGUAUAGUAAGACACUUCUUAAUUAUUUACUUGUUUCAAAAUUUUAUGAAAGUGUGCGCUUGACCUCUCUCGGACGCGCGCCUAUACCUUGCGUCUUGCGCUUUGCGCCUAGGCUCCAACAGCCCUUUGCGCCUAGGUGCGG